CCUUGGUGAAGCUUUCCCCUGUGAACCUGCAAUCUUCUGUUAUGGAUCAAACUUCUGCUAGUUCAAAACCAUGUUAUUGGUGUUUCCACAUAACAAGAGCUUCACAGGAAAAGAAUGGAACAGGUUCAGAGUAUCUGAUGCCCAGGAAGCUGUCCCUGUCUUUAUUUCAGGAAGUCAUAGAAUAUCCUGACUAUGAAGAGACCUGCAAAGAUCACAGCCCGCCACCUGGCUCCAGGCAGCACUAUCCAAACUCCGAGCCCUAUGUCUGAGAGCAUUGUCCAAACGUUCCUGCAACUCCCGCAGCUCAGGGCCGUGCCCACUGCC